CAGCCGCCAGUGCCAGUGGGGGAGCAGCCGUCUCCCACACGCUGACCACGCGUGUAGUCCUCACGGGAAGAGCAGGUGCGGUCGUAGCUUGCGUGGCAUCUUUGUGUGCCCCCGGGUUUCGCCUGUCAUCAGGAGACCGUUUUGGACCGAUCAGAUCCCGUUUUGGCUUUCUAAAUUUGUUUAUUUAGUGCCGCUGAGCAGGAGCUGUACGAGUUUGCAUCCUCUGCUCUCAG